AUGUUUGCCAAAUCUGUUAUCAAUUUGGAGAGAGAAAAUAUUCACUCCGGAGCUAAUAGUAAAGAUUUGGCCAAACGAGGAUGGAACCACGACCCGAUCUGCUCGCUUUGCUGGCAUACUUCAGAAGAUGCUGUGCAUCUGCUGGCACCUGCCUCUUCACCACUGCGCUAUGGCGACGGGCCUUGCAGCUGUGACAUCUCCCGACGACGCUGGCUCCUGCCUAAUCUACAAGCUCACUUCUUCAGUCGUGGGAAGAUGGUGCCCGCACCAUCGCGUGCAUGGAGCUCACUGGUGCAGCUUGUGUGGUGGCACGUUUGGAAGGAACGCAACGAGCACAUCUUCACAAAUAAGGCAUCAACAACAACUGCCACAUUCUACUGA
rnacentral:rRNA from 1 species